rnacentral:rRNA from 1 species
AGUGAACGCUGGCGGCAGGCCUAACACAUGCAAGUCGAACGGCAGCACAGUAAGAGCUUGCUCUUACGGGUGGCGAGUGGCGGACGGGUGAGGAAUACAUCGGAAUCUACUUUUUCGUGGGGGAUAACGUAGGGAAACUUACGCUAAUACAGCAUACGACCUACGGGUGAAAGCAGGGGAUCUUCGGACCUUGCGCGAUUGAAUGAGCCGAGGUCGGAUUAGCUAGUUGGCGGGGUAAAGGCCCACCAAGGCGACGAUCCGUAGCUGGUCUGAGAGGAUGAUCAGCCACACUGGAACUGAGACACGGUCCAGACUCCUACGGGAGGCAGCAGUGGGGAAUAUUGGACAAUGGGCGCAAGCCUGAUCCAGCCAUACCGCGUGGGUGAAGAAGGCCUUCGGGUUGUAAAGCCCUUUUGUUGGGAAAGAAAAGCAGCAGGUUAAUACCCCGCUGUUCUGACGGUACCCAAUGAAUAAGCACCGGCUAACUUCGUG